rnacentral:rRNA from 1 species
ACGACUCUCGGCAACGGAUAUCUCGGCUCUCGCAUCGAUGAAGAACGUAGCGAAAUGCGAUACUUGGUGUGAAUUGCAGAAUCCCGUGAACCAUCGAGUCUUUGAACGCAAGUUGCGCCCGAAGCCUUCCGGCCGAGGGCACGUCUGCCUGGGCGUCACGCA